UACGAAGGGGGCUAGCGUUGCUCGGAAUUACUGGGCGUAAAGGGCUCGUAGGCGGCCAACUAAGUCAUACGUGAAAUCCCUCGGCUUAACCGGGGAACUGCGUCUGAUACUGGAUGGCUUGAGAUUGGGAGAGGGAUGCGGAAUUCCAGGUGUAGCGGUGAAAUGCGUAGAUAUCUGGAGGAACACCGGUGGCGAAGGCGGCAUCCUGGACCAAUACUGACGCUGAGGAGCGAAAGCCAGGGGAGCAAACGGG
rnacentral:rRNA from 1 species